rnacentral:rRNA from 1 species
GGAUGCGAUCAUACCAGCACUAAAGCAUCGGAUCCCAUCAGAACUCCGAAGUUAAGCGUGCUUGGGCGAGAGUAGUACCUAGGAUGGGUGACUCCUGGGAAGUCCUCGUGUUGCAUUCC